GGGGNUAUGGCGAAAUUGGUAGACGCUACGGACUUAAAAAAUCCGUCGACUUUUAAAAUCGUGAG
rnacentral:tRNA from 1 species